CGGGGCCCUCAGUGACCGGCUUGUCCCCACCCCCAGCUGUGGACAGUGCCGCGGUGGGCCCCGAUCCACCUGCUCCACCUGCGGGGCCGCGGGAGGGGAGGGGAGGGGGCCCUCCGCCUCGCUCCAGGGACCCCUGCGGCCGGGCUCUCUUCCCUCCCCGUUUGUAGCGACGAGGAGGCGGAGGCUCAGACAGGGGCACAGAGGUCAGCGGCACAGGUGGCCUUUAGGGCUCCGAGUGUGUAAGCAGCGCCCUGGGUGCCUCCGUGUGGCUUCGUCUCAGCCGUCCUGAUAGACACGUCGGGUCCCUCUGCAGCUCACGGAGGAGGUGUGGGGUGCACAUUCUGUCCGUCCAGGACUGCUUCAAGGUGUGGUGGCCCUGGGGGUCCCCGCCGUGGAGAGCUCGCCGGAGGGUGACCUGCUGGUGUCAGGGAGGACACUGUAGGUGUGGCACCUGUUGAGCUGCAUGACUGUCCCGUGGAGAGGACCAAAGGGAGCACCCCGUGACAGAGCAAUGCGAGGAACCAGGUGCGCACGGCAGUCUGGUGGAGGAGAGAGUGGCCCGCUAGGCUUGGUUUCACCAGGGCAGAGCCCAGGCAGCCGAAGGCGCUAGAAGGCCCUAGAAGGGACAGGACAGCACAGCACAGCGUGUUCAGCAUCAGAAGGAGCUUUCAGUGACCAGAGUCCCGUCAGGCAACUCCUGAUUCUGGGCAGAAGGCAAGGCGAGCGAGGAUGCGCACAUCCGGGUCAGCCCAAGCUCUUCACUGUUCUGGGAGUUGGCACUGGGGGGUCCCAUUGGUUCGCCGGAAGGGAAGCCAGCAGUGCUGGGGGGCAGGGAUUCAUUCGCAUUAGCUAACAGGCUGUUUCCGCCCAAGGGAAAAGUACUGGCCAUCCCCCUUACCAACCACAGCGUUUUUUGGGGGAGCCUAACAACAGGGCUGUGUUUCCUCCGAGGGCUGUGGCGGGUCGUGGGUGGGCCUUGCUUCCACUCCGGCCACUGGAUUGGCGGCAUGAAUGAAUCACGAGGGGAAAGAAAAUGAUAAAACUCCAUCUCAUUUGGAAACAUGAAUCACAGCUCAUUGUUUGCAUGUACUUGGAAUCUGUCAGAAGCAUUGUUUGUAAAUGAGACACUUUAUUUUUUUGCAAAAUGGGGAAAAGAGUAAACAGCUGAUCUGUUGCUUCCUCAGCAAGGCAGGAAGUGCUGGUCUCUCCCCAGGCCCCCCAUUUAUUCCAGUGUGGGUUGGGGUUGCCCCCAGGAAAUUUUCCAGCCUGUUAAUGUCUCCCCCUGGGCUUGAGUUGAGUGGGUCAGUGUUUACAGAUUUGGUUAAUUAACACAGGGAGGAAUUUUGACUUGCCUUCACGGGAGUGCGGUGGUGGUGGUGGGGGGAAGCUUGGCACAGGUGAACUUUUCCAUCAUCCCCCAGCUAGGCAGAGUCUGAGGUCUCAACGCUAAUAAAACUAUUAUUGGUCCUGUUCCUAAAAUGAGGUAAAAAGAUGCAGUGUGUUUUAGAGUCACACCUGAGAAUGGUGCGCUCACCUCUCUUGGUGUGAAGGUCAGAAUAACGGCCCUCAAAAUGUCCAUGCCCUAACCCCCAGACCGCGUAAAUGCGUUCUGUGACAUGGCCGAAAGGGCUUUGCAGAUGGGGUUAACGUAAUGAAACAGAGUUGGAGAGAUGACGUUGCAUUAGCUACAUGGGCCCCCAAAGCAGAGAACUUUUCUCUGGCUGGUCACAGAAGAGUGGAUUAAGAGGUUCCAAGCCUGGGCAGGGUCCCACGCAAGGUUGCUGGCCCUGAGAUGUAAGAGCUUGCUUGCAGGGACCAGAGGAAGCCCAGGGAGCUCAGGGCAGCCCCCCAGCUGGCAACCAGCAAGGAAAUGUGGACCUCAGCCCUGCAGGUACAACCGGAUCCUGCUCGCACCCCGACUGAGCCUGAAAAGGGAUCCAUCCCUUCCUGAGCUCCCGACGAGAGCCCAGCUGGCCAACAGCUGGACUUGGAGACCCAGAGCCACUGAGUGUCUGACCUGGGGAGCUGUGAGAUUAUCCCUGGGGACCCUUUGAAGCUGCUCAGGGAGUGGUGGUUAAGACGGCAAUAGAAAAACCAGCAGAAGCGUGGGAGAGUGAGGUUUGUUAUGGAGGAGGUGGAACCCCAGUGGAUCCAAUGUGGGUGCUUAAUUCUGGCCUUUCGACGGAGAGCUCAAACGGGAGGUGGGUGUUGGUGCUGCAGACACUUUAGCUCCUGGCUCUUACUCCUUCUGUGGCCCCUAAGCCCCUUCCUGUUUCCCCAUCUGGAAGGUGGAGCUAAGCCUGCCUACCACAAAGACUGAGGACGAUGAUGCCUUGAGAUGAUGAUGUUGGCAGAGCAGGGGGGCAUCAUGUUUGAGAUCAGCCAAGCGCUCAAUGGC